AAAUUGAAGAGUUUGAUCAUGGCUCAGAUUGAACGCUGGCGGCAGGCCUAACACAUGCAAGUCGAACGGUAACAGGAAACAGCUUGCUGUUUCGCUGACGAGUGGCGGACGGGUGAGUAAUGUCUGGGAAACUGCCUGAUGGAGGGGGAUAACUACUGGAAACGGUAGCUAAUACCG
rnacentral:rRNA from 2 species